rnacentral:rRNA from 1 species
UACGGAGGGUGCAAGCGUUAUCCGGAUUCACUGGGUUUAAAGCGCACGUAGGCGGAUCUUUAAGUCAGGGGUGAAAUCCCGAGGCUCAACCUCGGAACUGCCCUUGAUACUGGGGAUCUCGAGUCCGGAAGAGGUUGGUGGAACUCCGAGUGUAGAGGUGAAAUUCGUAGAUAUUCGGAAGAACACCAGUGGCGAAGGCGGCCAACUGGUCCGGCACUGACGCUGAGGUGCGAAAGCGUGGGGAGCAAACAGG